rnacentral:rRNA from 1 species
CCUCGGAUCAGGUAGGAAUACCCGCUGAACUUAAGCAUAUCAAUAAGCGGAGGAAGG